CUGAACAAUAAAAAUAUUUUACAAGUGUCAAACGUGAGACCGCUCAACAAAUAUGGGAAAAAUUGUGUUCAACAUAUCAAUCAAAAUCAGAGACGUCAUUACAAAUAUUGCAACAAAAAUUUUUUGAAACCCAAUAUUCGUAAUCUUUCGUAUGCCGGGCGUCAACGCGCACCGAAUGCGCUGUCUGCCGCGGAAAAUAUGUUAGUCAUAAGUCAGAUGUUAGUAAAA
rnacentral:misc_RNA from 1 species